UACGUAGGGUGCAAGCGUUGUCCGGAAUUGAUUGGCGUAAAGAGCUCGUAGGCGGUUUGUCGCGUCUGCUGUGAAAACGCGAGGCUCAACCUCGCGCCUGCAGUGGGUACGGGCAGACUAGAGUGCGGUAGGGAGAUUGGAAUUCCGUGGUGUAGCGGUGGAAUGCGCAGAUAUCAGGAGGAACACCGAUGGCGGAAGGCAGA
rnacentral:rRNA from 1 species